AAUGCGGACAAAUCGGUAGUAGAGAACGCGCUGUCGAGUCUGAAUGUCGUUUUCCACGUACCCAUAUUAUUCUAGAAUACAUUACAGUGAAAUUGAUUUGAAUGUGCUCCCGAAUGAAAAAACUAAUGUCUCUUUAAGACAGUGCUUGUGUCGUGAAGUGUGAAGCGAAGGUGAAGUAAUGACGUUACGUGCCUUACCGGCAUCCUGUUAUAUGAUACAAGAAAGAUUUAAAAAUAUUGAUUUGUCAACGAGUAGAAUGCCUUCGCUAAUAUUUAGUAAUAGGUAUGACCUUGCGUUAUAGGUGAAACCUACAUCUAAUGGGUGAAAUGGUAUCUUAUAAUAAUUACUAUAG